rnacentral:rRNA from 1 species
CCUACGGGGCAGCAGUAGGGAAUUUUCCGCAAUGGGCGAAAGCCUGACGGAGCAAUACCGCGUGAGGGAUGACUGCCUAUGGGUUGUAAACCUCUUUUUUCAGGGAGGAAUAAAUGACGUGUACCUGAAGAAUAAGCAUCGGCUAACUCCGUGCCAGCAGCCGCGGUAAGACGGAGGACGCAAGUGUUAUCCGGAAUCACUGGGCGUAAAGCGUCUGUAGGUGGCUCAACAAGUCAACUGUUAAAUCUUGAAGCUCAACUUCAAAAUCGCAGUCGAAACUAUUGAACUAGAGUAUAGUAGAGGUAAAGGGAAUUUCCAGUGGAGCGGUGAAAUGCGUAGAGAUUGGAAAGAACACCAAUGGCGAAGGCACUUUACUGGGCUAUUACUGACACUCAGAGACGAAAGCUAGGGUAGCAAAUGGGAUUAGAUACCCCAGUAGUCCUAGCCGUAAACAAUGGAUACUAGGUGUUGAACAGAUCGACCUGUGCAGUACUAAAGCUAACGCGUUAAGUAUCCGCCUGGGAAGUAUGCACGCAAGUUGAGAACUCAAAUGAAUUGACCGGCGUGAGACGNGCGACGGACGACGACGAGGGAGUAGG